GGACUGAUAGCUCAGUGGAUAGAGCACCCGCCUUCUAAGCGGGUGGUCGCAGGUUCGAAUCCUGCUCAGUCCA
rnacentral:tRNA from 1 species